ACUUGUCUUCUUAAAAGUUCAGAAUCAGCUGAAAAUUUGUAUGAGAUGGCGGGAUUUUUGAAAAAAAUUUUUAAAUAUAUUUAAAUACUAGUGAAUCAAAAGUUGACGCAGGCGCUUAUAUUUAUUUCGUUAUUAUAAUCGGGGAGAGGGGUUAUGAGACAAAUACGACGAAGCGAAAAGUAUCGAUUUAGUAUAAAGUGGACAAUACAACCAUGUUGAUAUUUGUUACUUAGUGUGUCCAUAAACAAAAUUUAACGUCUGUAUUUCUCUAAUGUUGUUUGUAAUACUAAUGCUUUAAUGAUUAUUUUUUUAACAUGAACGUAUUUAUUUAUAAUAAUUUAAUAGUUUCUUUAAAGAUAUAAAGUAUACUUUAAAUAUAGAAAAAGGUAUACAAAUAUGACGAGUAAUCGAUGUUUGUUAAUCGUCAUAAAAAAUAAUCAAGUGAAAAUUUAUCGAGAAUAAUAAGCAAGACACCUUCAUGCUACGAGUCUGUGAGUCUGACAGUAUUGAUUUACUUUACUUUGAGUGUCUAGUUAUUUUAAAAUAGGAUACAAUUUGAAAAACGAUUAACAAAUAUGAAAUUAAGUUUUAAUUAUUCUCUAUGUAUUUAAAAAUCUACAUACCCUCAAGUGCUCAGUGAUUCCAUCAAUAAAAAAUAAUCUUUAAAAUAUAUCAAGAACAAAAUUGUUUUUAAAUGCAAUAAAAAUUCUUAGAAAAAUAUUUGUAUUUGUUUCAAGCUUUGUGAAGUAAUAAAUUAAAUACAUUGAAAGAAUAACGAAAAAAUAUGUAUACUCGUAUUAGAUAUUGCACAACAACAAAAAUCUAAGGAUAAUACAACGUUAUAUGAUAUUUUGUGCUAAUUAACGAAAGCUUUAUUAGCAUUCAAACGUAAAAAAAUAAAGUGAAGAUAUGUCAUCGAUAUCGGCUCAAGGAGUUGUUGAGCGUGCAAGUGCUGAGUUAUCCAAAAGGAUUAAUGGACUGGCUCUUCGUUCAUCUAAGCAUGGAGGUGGAAAAACGAGUGUAAUGGAACGUGUGACGAACGUAUUUUGUGGUGGUGGUGGUGGUGGCGGAGGUGGUGGCGGAGGUGGUGUUACUUAUAUGAGUAUUCAAAACACUAAUGCUAAUCAAAUUCCGGAGAAGCCAAGCAGAAGUAUACCCAUGUCACUCAGUAAUUCCGUCAAUGUUGUCAACAGUAAAAGUUCAAGCAAUACCAACACUGCUGUGAGAACAAAAAUAGGACGAGGAAAAAUACGGAUGCGAAAUAUAUCAUUUGCCAGCUGUGGUACUCCUGGCUAUAUACCACCUAUAUCAUGGGAACAGUUAAUGCUGGAUGAACAUUUUUUAAGCCGAUUUUUUUUAUAUUUUAACGCCAGCGAAAGAAAGAUUUUAGCUCAAGUUUGCACUCGAUGGCGAGAUGUAUUGUAUGCAAGGCCUCGGUUUUGGGCUGGAUUAGUACCAGUGGUUAGAUGUCGGGAAAUCAGGGGAAUGGCUUCAGGAUCACGAACAAAAUUGUAUGCAUCUCUAGUUAGAAGAGGUUUUCAUUCACUCGUUCUUUUGGGUGCAGCUGAUGAAGAUAUACCUGAAUUAACACAUGGGUUUCCAAUGGCACAACGUCACAUUCAUUCAUUAUCAUUACGGUGUUGCUCUGUUACUGAUCGAGGCCUUGAAACUCUUUUAGAUCAUCUUCAGGCACUCUUCGAACUGGAACUAGCGGGUUGUAAUGAAGUCACAGAAGCUGGACUGUGGGCUUGCUUAACACCAAGAAUUGUAUCAUUAUCGUUAUCUGAUUGCAUAAAUGUUGCUGACGAAGCAGUUGGUGCUGUGGCACAACUAUUACCAAGUCUUUAUGAAUUUUCUCUUCAAGCUUAUCAUGUUACCGAUGCAGCACUCGGUUAUUUCAGCGCCAAACAAAGUAGUUCACUAAGUAUUUUACGAUUACAAUCAUGCUGGGAACUUACCAAUCAUGGAGUUGUUAAUAUUGUACAUUCUUUACCGAACCUUACGGUACUAUCGCUUUCGGGAUGCAGUAAAGUUACUGAUGAUGGCGUUGAACUUAUUGCAGAGAAUUUGCCACGUCUUCGUUGUUUAGAUUUGAGUUGGUGUUCGAGAAUAACUGAUGCAGCACUUGAGUAUAUAACAUGUGAUUUAAAUCAACUGGAAGAACUUACGUUAGACAGAGAAACAGGAUGAUGAUCGCCCUACUGAAGUAUCAACUUCUGAUAAUCCACUUGUUGUAAAUGAUAAUCAGUCCAUCGAAGUGUUAACCUCUGAAAACAUUGAAGCAGCAUCUUGUUAUGUAGAACACCAGUUGAACGAUUCUGAAUUAUCAAGAGAAAAUUCAGAAAACUAUUUGCCAUUGCGUUUGACAAGCGUGGGUGGAUCAAUGUCUAGUGAGGAAGCAUUAACUUUUUCUUGAUGAUGAUUAUUUAAAAGGAUAAGAGAUUGCUAAGAAGAUUAAAGUUGUUAAUGAUGUAGCAGAUAGAGCUGUACAAUUGACUCAAGAAUGUAUAAAUGUGUUAGCUAAAGAUGAAAAUCAAAAACAGUAUCUUCAGGUGAUAAAAGAGUAUAAGAAUGAAUUUCCAAAUACUACUAAGGAAUGCCUGACAAAAAAGAUAAAAGUUCAAUAAUUAACAUAUGUAUUAAAAUAAAAUCAAUAAUGA